CAGUCGCCGCGGGAAUACGUAGGUGGCAAGCGUUGUCCGGAAUUAUUGGGCGUAAAGCGUGCGUAGGUGGUGGUUUAAGUCCGUUGUGAAAGCCCUGGGCUCAACCUGGGAAUUGCAGUGGAUACUGGAUCACUAGAGUGUGGUAGAGGAUAGUGGAAUUUCCGGUGUAGCAGUGAAAUGCGUAGAGAUCGGAAGGAACAUCUGUGGCGAAGGCGACUAUCUGGGCCAACACUGACACUGAGGCACGAAAGCGUGGGGAGCAAACAGGAUUAGAUACCCGCGUAGUCCCUGUCUCUUAUAU
rnacentral:rRNA from 1 species